rnacentral:rRNA from 1 species
CCUACGGGAGGCAGCAGUGGGGAAUAUUGCACAAUGGGCGCAAGCCUGAUGCAGCAACGCCGCGUGAGUGAUGAAGGUCUUCGGAUUGUAAAACUCUGUUCUUGGGGAAGAAUAAAUGACGGUACCCAAGGAGAAAGUCCCGGCUAACUACGUGCCAGCAGCCGCGGUAAUACGUAGGGGGGCAAGCGUUGUCCGGAUUUAUUGGGCGUAAAGGGUACGCAGGCGGUCUUUUAAGUUAGAUGUGAAAUCUUACGGCUCAACCGUAAUCAGCAUUUGAAACUGGAAGACUUGAAUCAAGGAGAGGAAAGUGGAAUUCCUAGUGUAGCGGUGAAAUGCGUAGAUAUUAGGAGGAAUACCAGUGGCGAAGGCGACUUUCUGGACUUGUAUUGACGCUGAGGUACGAAAGCGUGGGGAGCGAACAGGAUUAGAUACCCUGGUAGUCCACGCCGUAAACGAUGAGUGCUAGGUGUCGGGUGUCAAAGCUCGGUGCCGCAGCUAACGCAUUAAGCACUCCGCCUGGGGAGUACGUACGCAAGUAUGAAACUCAAAGGAAUUGACGG